rnacentral:lncRNA from 1 species
GCGGUGGUGGGUGGCUGGGUGCGCAGGUCAGCAGGUGUGGCUGGGUGCGCAGGUCGGCAGGUGUGGAGAUUUGGAGAAGAGGGAGCGAUGAGUACUGACUAGGUUAGGGAUUGGGGAUUUGGGGGUUAGGGUAGACGCUCACACUCACGCAGUUCUGUUUGGGAGGUGGGGGUUUGGGUCGCGCAGUUUCGUUAGAGGGGUAAUGUUUAGGGUUUUUUCCUAAUCGGUUCGGUUCGGUUAGGGUUUUCAAAUUCAAAACCGAAAAUCGAACCGAACCGCACAAAAAACAGCAAAAUCAAUUUUUUUCGGUUAUUGGUUUAUUCAGUUUUCGGUUUUUUCGAUUUGGUUCAUCGGUUUAGUUCGGUUCGGAUCGGUUUUGAACACCCCUAUCGGCCGGCAUCCAGGCAAAGAGAUCGACGUUAGCCCUAAUCAUUUCCAUUAAAGGUUCUUUCAAUUGGUGUGAAAGGUUUCUGUUGACAAAAGUGAACUUCUCCUCGGAGUCGCCAACCCUAAACUUCUCUAAGUCUCCUUCUGGCUCGGGUCUAGGCUUGUCCUUGACCCUGACGUCCAGGUCGGCGAGAAAGACUCCCGACGCCUCUUUGGAUUUCUUUCUUAAGGAGAGACUGGCGUUGUCGCAAGCGAUUGCCGUUUCCAAGUCCCCCUUAUGGAUCCCACAGAUACGUUAUCAGUGAUGAACUUCAUUACCAACAUCUUUGUGCUAAUCACUGCCCCAAGAUCGUUGAUGGUCUUUCUCCCAAGAAUGAUGUUGUAGGCUGUGGAGUCUCGGAGGACCACGAACUCCGCCAUUACCGACCUUUUUCCUUGUCUCAACCCUAUGGAUAUAUGUAGGGAGAUUACUCCAUCAGGCUUGAUGAAGUGGUCGCCCAAGCCUACUACGCCAUGCUGGUGAGUCUUUAAAUCGGCAUCUUGGAGGCCUAGGGCAUCGAACACGUUGCGGAACAUAAUAUUCGAGUCAGCGCCAGUGUCCACGAGGAUCUUCUUGACCAAGCCGGUUCCCACUCUGGCCGUGAUGACAAUUGGAGGGUUUUCCGUGAUCUCAUCAAACCAUUGGUCAUCUGGACCGAAUGAUAUGGGUGGGGUCCUCUUAGAAUUUGGCGUGGGGCUAGAUGACGAUACUGCUAGGACUUUGGCGUCCUUCUUGUGUGCCGACUUCGACCUCGGAGCCACGUCUCUUCCGACUACAACGUUCACAAUGGUGAGGCCGCGCUCGUUGUCCUCCUCAGGGUCUCAUCUUGGCUUCACAGCGCGGCUCCUAUCAUCGCCAGAUCGGUCAUGAUCUCGCCUUUUGGGCUCUCUUAUAAGGUGAGAGAACUCUGCCAGCUUACCUUCCCGAAUCGCCUGCUCCAGAGCAUCCUUCAAGUCGAAACAAUCUUAGAUCUUAUGGCCGAAGCCCUUGUGGUAGUCGCAAUAGAGGUUUUUGUUCCCUCCAGUUCUAUCCUUGAGUUGUCGGGGUUUCGAUAGGAUGCCCUUCUCGGCUAUUUGCUGGUAGACCUCAACGAUCAGGGCUGUCAAGGGAGUGUCGUUUGUAAACUUCCCUACCCGGGAGAACGAAUUGAAAGCUUUAGCUGGCCCUCCGUCCUUGGGGUGCUCCUUACCCCUUUCCCCGCUACCGGGAUGACAACCAGAGUUGUAGACGGGCUGCCGCUUGUUGGCUUCCACGACUUUGCUAAUCUCUUCGUCAUUGAUAUACUCCCUCGCCACAUUUUGUAUUUCUUGCAUUGUCCACAGGGCUUGGUGGUGAGGUGUUUCCUGAAAUCCUCGUUCAGUAACCCGUUCGUCAAGCAUAAACUGGCCACUGAGUCGGUUAGGCCGUCAAUUUCCAAGCAUUCAUCAUUGAACCUGUCCAGGUAGUUCCUGGUCAGUUUCCCACUCCUCUGCGUCACUCCUAACAAGUUGAUGGGGUGCUUAGCUUUAGCGAUACGCGUGGUAAACUGGGCCAGGAAGGCGCAGGCUAUGUCCGCAAAGGUUGUCACCGAGCCUUGGGGGAGAGCGUUGAACCAGCGAAUUGCCGGCCCCGCUAGGGUCACGGGGAAGGCGCGACACCUCACUUUAUCACCCACCCCUUCCAAAUUCAUCCUGGCCUCGAAGGCCGUUAGAUGUUCUUGGGGGUCUUGGGUCCUAUCAUACCUCAUGUUCGUUGCCUUAUCAAAGUGCUUCGGUAGCCAGACCUCGAGGUUGGAAUGGUGAAAAGGGGUUGCCCCCAUGAUUACGGGUUGUCGCCUUCUUUUUGGUCUUUCUCUGCUGUCUUCUCGGUUUUCCUCCAUUGUAUUUCUUGUCGGAGGUCGGGUGUAAAUUACGGGAUCUCGCUGUCUUCUUGGCACUUCCCUACUCUCUCCUUGGCUCUCUGAUUCUGAUCGGGGGUCCGGGGUACGUCUGGAGCGACUUCUUCGGGGGCUUCUCCCUCUCCUUUGAGGAGUUGGGGAACGAUCUUGCCUCGGAGCCGGCUGGUAGCGCUUCCUGCUUGCCAGUUCUCGCUCCAAGUUCUGUACCCUGUGACGUAGCUCUUGCAUUAUUCUGGCGCUAUCACUCCCCAUUCCUCCAAAAGGGUCGCCUCUCCUAGGAACGCGAGGGGAGCUCAGUUCGCCGCGGGGAGGUUUACAGAAGAUGAUGGAGGCUUGGUGGGAACUGGGGUCGGUGGUUUGGCGCUGCUGGGAAGAACGUUCCUGGGCCGGUGCUCACUGGCGAUGCUGGGCGCUGCUGGAAAGAACGCUGCUGCCUACUGGGAACUGGGAAGAAGGCUUCGGUGUUGGUGGCUGGUGGGAUUGCGACUUUGCGAGGGCGAGACUAAGAGCAGCAGAGAGCGACUGUGACGGGCCGAAGGCUUCGCGGUGGUGGGUGGCUGGGUGCGCAGGUCAGCAGGUGUGGCUGGGUGCGCAGGUCGGCAGGUGUGGAGAUUUGGAGAAGAGGGAGCGAUGAGUACUGACUAGGUUAGGGAUUGGGGAUUUGGGGGUUAGGGUAGACGCUCACACUCACGCAGUUCUGUUUGGGAGGUGGGGGUUUGGGUCGCGCAGUUUCG